GACAGAAAUCUGAAACUCCAGAUGGACUGACCUCCCUAAAGCUCUCUGAGUGACAGUGGCAGGUCUGGGACUCAGCUCCCCUGUGUCACUAUAGCUUUUAAUCAUGUGAUUCAUCUUUCUGUACAGAGAACUGAUGUAAUCCUUACCCCUGUUAUGAAGCCUUGGCCUCUCUUCUGUUGAACAGAAUUGUUCUUUGGAAAGUAGAAUAGAUGAUGAAAGCUCAGUGGGGGAACACAAGAGGCAGUUACAAGAGGCUGAAGUAAAAGAAAGUCAAGAAUAUGAACAAUUCUGAGCUGGUGCUUGUAAUGCCUGGAGAAAAGCACUUCAUGCAAAAGUUGCAGAGAACUUUUUGCUUUCCUCAUUAAUGUAUUGAGGAAGGAGAUUUUUACUCAAAAGACAUGUACAAAGAAGUCAGGCUGCUUGCUCUGCUCUCCCAGUUUAGGAACCUGUAUGUUUCUGAAGACAUGCUUUGUGUUUGAGCUUCUUGAAGAUCUAUGUGUUUUGGUGCAGACCUAAAGCAGGCCCUGAAUCUUGUGCAACUGCUCUGCUCAACUACAAUUUAUACUGACUGGAAGACAGCUGGAUCUGGGGCUCUGCACAGUGAGCUCUCUAUCAGCUGCAUCAGGUCAAGACUCUGACAGCUUCAGUGGCUGCCACGGGUUCCUCUGGCUCCCCCUGUCUGGGAUUUUGAGGCUUGAGUUUCUGCGAUUUAUAUUCACCACUGUAAAGUCAUCUUUACCACAGGUUCCCUGUGAUCCCUUGGAUGUCUUCACAAAGCAUUGUACAUUCCUUCCUGCCAUAAAACUGAAGAAUCAGUUAGGAUGUAAAAGUCUCUAAAGAUCGUCUGCCACAACCAACCUGACACUACCAUGUUCACCACUAAACCACAUCCCUAAGUGCCACAGAAUUUCAAAAUGUUACAAAAUGUAACACAAAAUUUAAUGCAUGUUCUUAUGGAGGAGGAAGCUGAUUUUAUUAUACAAAAGCCUUGAGCAGAAUAAUUCUGCUGCUCAGGCUCUCACACUCUCGGGUGUCAAAAUUUAUGUGUUCAGGUGGUCUGGCCGGAGUACAUGUGAAAUUGGAGGAUGAGAGAUCUUGCAUCUCUUGAUUGCUUGUUGUCUGGUUGCAACAAAACUGCUUAUGGACAGACCUUAUAUAUACCAUAGGAAUCAUCAUCUGCAAUGAGGUAAUUCCUUGGCUUGUUUUUUGCUUACCUCACCUGUCAGAAGUCUUGGAUCAGAUUGCUAUCUCUGUUGACCUUUCCCUCGUUGAAAAUAUGUAUACUUGAGACACAUAUCAGUGGCCCUUUUUUGUUGGUUCUAAGAGUAAAAAAAGAAGUAUUAAAGAGUUAUACAUGAUACAUUGCAUUCAUCUUGCCAUCUUGCUGUUGUGAAG
rnacentral:lncRNA from 1 species